rnacentral:rRNA from 1 species
CCCUACGGGGUGCAGCAGGCGCGAAACCUUUACAAUGUGCGAAAGCAUGAUAAGGGAACUCCGAGUGCCAGUAUCUAAUACUGGCUGUCCUUGUGCCUAAAACGCACAAGAUAGCAAGGGCCGGGUGAGACCGGUGCCAGCCGCCGCGGUAACACCGGCGGCCCGAGUGGUAGCCGCUAUUAUUGGGUCUAAAGGGUCCGUAGCCGGUUCGAUAAGUCCUCUGGGAAAUCUGGUUGCUUAACAAUCAGACUGCCAAGGGAUACUGUCGAACUUGAGACCGGGAGAGGUAAGAGGUACUUCAGGGGUAGGAGUGAAAUCUUGUAAUCCCUGGGGGACCAUCUGUGGCGAAGGCGUCUUACCAGAACGGGUCUGACGGUGAGGGACGAAAGCUGGGGGCGCAAACCGGAUUAGAUACCCGGGUAGUCCCAGCCGUAAACGAUGCUCGCUAUGUGUCAGGUACGGUGUGACCGUAUCUGGUGCCGUAGGGAAGCCGUGAAGCGAGCCACCUGGGAAGUACGGCCGCAAGGCUGAAACUUAAAGGAAUUGGCGGGGGAGCAC